GUGUUUGGUGUUGUAGUGGUGAUUUUGGUGUUGUGUUUGGUGUUGUAGUGGUGAUUUUGGUGUUGUGUUUGGUGUUGUAGUGGUGAUUUUGGUGUUUGGUGUUGUGGUGAUGUUUUUGGUGUUGUGUUUGGUGUUGUAGUGGUGAUUUUGGUGUUUGGUUUUGUAGUGUGGUGUUUUUUGUGUUGUAUUCGGUUUUUGUAGUGGUGAUUUUGGUGUUGUGUUUGGUGUUGUAGUGGUGAUUUUGGUGUUGUGUUUGGUGUUGUAGUGGUGAUUUUGGUGUUGUGUUUGGUGUUGUAGUGAUGUUUUUGGUGUUGUGUUUGGUGUUGUGGUGAUGUUUUUGGUGUUGUGUUUGGUGUUGUAGUGGUGAUUUUGGUGGU
ensembl:lncRNA